CUACACACCUCUCAUCAAGGCAUGCUGUGGUGGCAUCCCACGCACAAAAAAUAGAGGCAGGUUGUCACAGAUGUUAGCUCAUGGCCAAUCUUCCUCACCAAACAAAUAUGUAUAUAAGCACAAAUAUAAUUUAUACUUUUCUGAAUUACUAAAGUCUGCAAUUUGAAACUAUUGCAAUAAUGAAAUUAAUCUCUCUGGACCUAAUUUCUCUGAACAAUAGGAAACGGCAGAAGGUAUGGGUUAAGAAUAUGAGCUUCAGAGUCAGAUUGCCAGGAUUUACAUCCUGGUUAUAUUGCUGGGAGCUGUUGAGUUGGGGUAAGUUGCUAAUCUCAGUCUCCUCAUCUAUAGAAUGGAGGUAAUAUAUUUACAUCAUUCCUUAUGAGUUUGUUCUUGUAUGAGCUAGUAAAUGACAAGGACUUAGACCACUGCCUGGUACAAAGAAUGUACUCAGUAUAUUUUAGCUGCUCUUAAAAAGGAUUAUUAAAUGCCUUCUGAAUUCACCUUCCACUCUUAUUUUCUAUGAUGCUUAGAUUCCUGUAACUGAAAUCUAUAGAUUUAUACGUUCAAAACAGUGAAAACAUCUGUUAACCUCUGUCCAUCUUUCUGAUUCCACAAUGACAGCUCCUGGUGCUCAGAAGACAGUUGCAGUCUUGAGACUUAAGAGCAAAGAUUCUAUUCAAUUCCACAAUAUUCGGAGGAGAAUCACCACAUUCAUUGUGAUAGGCAAGAAGAAUCAAGAAAAGGACUUACUUAAAAUUGGAGAUUGUUCUGUUUUGACCUUAAAGCGUGUAAGAAGUUGUGCCCAACAGGAAGGAGAAUACCACUUCAUAUCUAAACCUACUUGAAAAACCAGUCUUGGUCUACCUACUGGAGUGUGCCAUACAUGUAAUCAUCAUUUGGCAGGUGUGUGGGGACCUCUGGCAGCCUCCAUUGUUUAGCUGGUGGGCCCAGCUCACAUUCAGUCCUGAGCGAGCUGUGCUUUCUGUAAGCAGCUGACUUCUACCAUCUCCGGCUCUCAGGAUCCAAAUACACUUGGUGGUUUUGUGUAAAAAUAAUGCACACUCCUUCCCUGUGGCUGAGGAUGAGAAGAUGGCGUUGGGUCGUGAUAGAUGGGAUUUAUUCCCCAAGCUGUUUGGAACCGCGAGCCGAUUGAAGGAGGAGAAGAAGGCCAUUGUCAAUGCUGCUGAUUGUUGACGCCUCAUCACCUGGAACACCUAGUACAUGGGAUAAGCUCAAGAAGCAAGUGAAGUCUCAAGGUCGUACUGCUUCAGCAUGCAGACAGACAGAAUUGGGUAUCCUGUAAGAUGUGGAUCAGUGAUGCAAGAGCUUUAUACAGCCUCAAUGAAGACAGCAGUGAGACUGAGCGAUCAGCUUAUCACAAAUCACUCUUCUGCUUCCCUGGGAGUGCGCUCUGCAACAAAGCAUUAAGCCGGAACUUUUGCCUUAGGCCCUGAUUUCUGAGAGCCCUUGGCCAUGAAAGUCUUUUUCCUCGUUCUCACUUUUCCCUACAGAUUUGUUCAAAGACUGGUGUUAUCAUCACCUUUUUGAGACCCUAUAAUUGAGAUUUGGAGAUAUUGAAGCAAAGGAGAAGUUUAUUUUGAAAUGCCUCUGUUAGCUCAUGGCUUUCACUGUAAAUACAGAUGGUGGGAAUGUAAUAGGGAAGCACCUCUGUUAAUUGUAUUAUCCUCAACUUGUCAAUGAAUUUUAAGUACAUUCUGGUUUGCAUUUCAUAUCAUCUUAACAGUGACAUCUUCACAUCUCGUGUUUUCC
rnacentral:lncRNA from 1 species